GGUGGGGGAUGGUCCUCAGUCUUGACCUUCUCCAUUCCCCUCACCCUGUUUCUUCUUGAACCACCUGAAAUCAGAGCAGUGGUUCCUAAAGUGCGGUCUGUAAACUAGCAGCAACUGCAGGACUUGGGAAUCUACUAGAAAUGCAGACUCUUCUCUUCCCUGUGCUGUGUGCUUAGUCGCUCAGUCAUGUCUGACUCUUUGCGACCCCAUGGACUGUAGCCCUCCAAGCUCCUCUGUCCAUGGAAUUUUCCAGGCAGGAAUACUGGAGUGGGUAUUCAUGCCUGCUUCCAGGGUAUAUUCCCAACACAGGGAUCAACUUGGUGUCCUAAGUCUCCUGCACUGGCAGGUGGAUUCAUUAUCACUGAGCCACCUGGGAAGCCCCGAGUAACUAAACUUGCCAUCAGUUUGCCUGCUAAGUCGCUUCAGUCCCAUCCAACUCUUUGCAGUCCUAAGGACUGUAACCUGCCAGGCUUCUCUGUCCAUGAGAUUCUCCAGGCAGGAAUACUGGAGUGUGUUGCCAUGUCUGCCUCCAGGAUAUCUCCCCCACACAGGGAUGGAACCCACAUCUCCUGCGUUGCAGACUGAUUCUUUACCACCAGUGCCACCUGGAAAACCGCCUGGGAAGGCCGCCGUUUAAACAUUGGCUAAACUGAGCCGCAGGCGCAUUGCUGAGCGGGGCGGACUUGGGGCGGUGCCUUUAACACCCCUACCCUCCCAGCAAGGGAACAACGGAAACGGAAGCUGAGCAUGCUCUUCUCUGAGCCCCGAGGCCCGGUGGGGCAGCUGCUACAGAAGGAAGCGUUAGUGUGGGGCAAGAGGAAUGACUGUUAAGGGCCCCUUUCCUGGUCUCUCUCCUUAGGUCCAUAAUCACUCAUGUCUCCAGGCCAAGCUGGAAUGUCACGUUCUCCACGAGGCCUUUCUUGAUCCCCUCAACGAAGUGAGCCUGGCCCUGCUGGAAAUUGACAGCACUUGGUGUGUGCUCCUCUUUCAUGAGUCACCGCAUCCACCCCACACUCAUGCAGUCCUGACCGCCACAACCCCCACAGCUGACCAUCCCAAUCUAGUUGUCCCCAGUACAAUGACAGCUAUCACCGCUCCGCCUUCCAGGAACAAAGCUGGAGUGCCAGGGCCAGAGCCCAGCUCUCGGCUGUCGGGGCCCAAGACUGGAGGUUUUAACCACUGUGCUUUACUGCUUUGCCCAUGACACAUAAAUUGAUAGUGAUGAAUAGGUCUUAUUUUCAAGACUGCAUUAUAAACUCCCCAAAAGUAGGGCCUUCAUUUAACCUUGUGAAUGCUUAGUGAAGGACCAGGCAAGUGGUAGAUACUUAAUAAAUACUUGGAUGGAUGAAUGGUGAAAUGGAGAUGGCACAUUUCAAUAAUGGUAUUUUUUUCCAGGAACCGAAACAUUUUUUUUGUGAUGUGGAUAUAAUAAUUAAAUCAUCUUUAACGGCAGGUUUGAGAACAAAACUCAGAAGCACAGUGGGUAUAAG
ensembl:lncRNA